rnacentral:rRNA from 1 species
UACAGAGGUCUCAAGCGUUGUUCGGAUUCAUUGGGCGUAAAGGGUGUGUAGGUGGCGCCGUAAGUCGGGUGUGAAAUUUCGGAGCUUAACUCCGAAACUGCAUUCGAUACUGCGGUGCUUGAGGACUGGAGAGGAGACUGGAAUUCAUGGUGUAGCAGUGAAAUGCGUAGAGAUCAUGAGGAAGACCAGUGGCGAAGGCGACUUUCUGGGCUGUAACUGACGCUGAGGCGCGAAAGCGUGGGGAGCAAACAGG